AUUUCACGGUGUGGACAUUGUAUCAACGACUCUUUAACCCUCUAUCAAUCAUCAAGCUAAUGUUCAUUUUCCCAUUGUCUAAAUGAAGCAAUCUUAUUUCUUAAUUU